AAGGCCCUGUCUCCCAACCCUUGUACCAGUGCUGUGCCUUAGACCCUGGUACAGGUCUGGGGGUCAGGGACCUGUGGACCCCGGCACCAGCAGGCCCUGUGGAUGAAGGCAGUGGGGCAACUCAGCAUCUCCCUGCGGACUCCGGCUGUGGCAGGUCUCUUACUAGUCCCAUCUUUGCUUUCUGCCCUGUCCUUUAGUAUUUCCAAGCAGCUGUUUUACAGAUCUGCUGCCUGUGCACCUGUGGGAUGCUCAAGGUCCGUCUCUCCAGCUGCUUCUGUAGUCCCCUUCUGCCCUUGCAGCCUGUCCCACUGAGCCUCUGCACCAGAGGAUCAAGGACGCCCUUCUCAAAGUUGGGCUCUUUACUAGGGCUUCCAGAGCCCCAUUCCUACACCUAAACCCUAGCAUUGUAAAGCUGGGCUCCAGGUCAGCCCUACUUGGCCACCAUCAGACCAUGUACCCUGAAGCCUACUCACUGGGACUCCAAGCACAGGACUCGCUCUCUCCCAGGGAUAAGAAGGAAGCUGGUGACUUUGCAAGCUUGGAGCAGAUGGAUUUCUGGCCUGAGGACCUUCCCCCAAACCUCCAGUAUAUACUUCCCACAGGCCAGCCCCAGAGGACCAGUGUCCCUGAAAUAUCCUCUAGAACACAGCCACCCACCAUGUACCUACAAUUCAAAGACGUCUCUAAGCCCAAGGAAAUCGCGGACGCCCUGAAUAACCCCAAACGGGGGCGCAAGGUCCUGGCCUCCCAGACCCGCCCCUUUGGCUGAGAGCGAGACCCGCAGAUUCCGGGCCAGCACAGAGAACACACCUGAAUGUCCGCCAUCUUCCCGGCUGCCUGAAAAAAAAGAGAGCGACGGAAGCGUCCGGGUUUCCUUAUUGAUUGCGCAGGGGCUGUAGAGGAAGUGACGAAAGGGGCAGGGUCACACGGCUUUGGGCGGUGCCUCGAGAGCGACUCUGAUUGACAGGCGGCUUUAACCAAGCUUGUGCAUCGGAAACUGCAAGUGCGCGGCCAUGAUGGUGAAAGACUCGGGGGCGGGAAAUGUGCACACUAUCUCGCGAGUUUCAGGCUCUCAUUGCUCCGGGAGCGUUAGUUCAGAUUGGCUUGAUUUGUGUUAUCGCGAGAGUCGGGGGGAAGCCGUCAUUUUCCUGAGGUGUAGGUUCACGUGGGAUUUGGGGACCACGUGGCUGUAAUCGGGUAGGCUUCAAACCAGGGGUGAUGCGACCAUCUUUUUUAUGGGACAGGCCCCCUGCCGUUCCUAGAAGCAUUGCGGCGGCGCCAUCUUUGCGAGGGGCGGAAGCUGCCGGAUCUUUUAGAAGUUGAAUGAAAAAGUUACCUGGCAGUGGUGGGCUUCACUUCCAGACGGUGAUUUGGAGCCAUUCUUUUUGCUUUUUCUGUGUUAAGAUGGCGCUAAUAGAACUCACCGGGAUCGUGGAAUUAUUGCAUACCUGCACUCGGUGGGCAGUAGCAUUUAAAAUUUGACUUUUGCGACUGAGAACCAGAAUACUUGAGUUGUAUUUCAUUAGGCUGUCCAGUGGCAAAGCGCUCGCCUGGCAUGGUGGGGCCCUGGUUUCAACUCCCAACAUCAAAGUUGUGGGUGCUGGCGACUGUUGAAAUGGGUAAAGGGGUACCCAGGCAGGCCCUGACCUGUGAAGGGCUUGUCCCCAAAGUGUUCCCCAACCCCAAUGCCCUCAGGGGUUCACACUGGCAGAGCCAACACGUCUAUUCUUAGGUGUCAGAUGAGACCUAACGUGCUUAUUUAAUAACCAGUUCACUUGCUGUGGUGCUUUGACCCCUGGAGUCAGGCAGUAGGGGGCGUUGUGGCAAUCAAAUACUUUGCAGUUGAGCUGGAAAGGGACAGCUUCAGGUUAUUAGGACACUGCAGGCUGUCCCAGGAGGAAACUUAGGUUUUUGUGGAAAGUGUGGCCUGCGUGAAACCUCUUAAAGCCCUGUUUUUGCUGAGGGCCCACCUCCACAGUGGACAUAUGCAAAGACGCCACGUUUCUUCAAAAAUAAUUUAUUUGCUUUUGAUCACAAAACAGAGGUAAGGAAAGGGGCAGUGCAUUUUCCAGUCUUUGCACCUCUAAAACUUGGCCCACUUCAGCAGGUACUCUCCCGUUUUUUCAGCUACAGAGUAUAGGAUGGCCACAUGGUUAAGACAGGUGGGUGCCCCUGUAGCCAAGGAGACCCCCCCUUUAGUGUUCCAGCUCAUUUAAAAAAAAAAAAA